rnacentral:misc_RNA from 1 species
UUGCCAGUGUGCUAGUUCGAGCGGGUCGUGUAGUACAGUUUUGACGUCUCUUCUCGAAUACUGUCGUGCGGGACGAGACUGUUGGAAAAAUUUUGUGAUUCAGCACUUGGACGGCGAAUUUCGCGUGAAUUGGUGGUGAUUUCGGUGGAAAAGCUAGCUAAAGUGUUGCUAAAGCGUGUUUUGGGCUGUUAUUUGUGCGUGAAAACAUGGAAAAAUGCUUAAAAGUUGCAGCCAGUGAACAAAACUGUCGCAGCCCCGGCCGCAGGUCGUAAAAGUGAACAACACAACAAACACAUUAAUGACAUUAGCGGUGUGACGCAAAACUUUUGGAAACCGCAAGAAAAACAACACCGAAAAGUGACAGCUUGAGGUGUGGAACGGGGGGCGAACACUGCGCUAGACUUUCCUUCGCUGUCAGUGGCAUGCAGACAUGAACGUGCGUGAUUGUGACAAGUGACAAGUGCAAGAAGUUUCGACCGCAGACUCAGACAACUGUCAAGCCGGAAAAGAGGGCGCAAGGGGGUGGCCACCCCUUACCAGCUUUUUGCACCCAGACGGUGACAGAUGCAAAUCUAAUCAGGACGUCGCGCCAACUGUUCUACUGAAGUAUUUUUAACAAUCUAGAUGAUCGGCACAGCGGCAACGGAUCUCGCACUUCAAAACUAACCUAAACUUCAUCAUUUCGCAUUUAAACACCCGCUCCAAAAUGACCUCCGUCAAGGACACCGCUUCGUUUUUCGUCAACGGCAGCUCCAACCAGUUCGAUUUCGUGCUUGCGAUGUAUCCACAGGUCCUCAAGCUGUACGCGGGAAACAAGUGCAAAAAGCCGGAAGAGCUGAUCCGGCUAGACAACUGGUACCAGAACCAACUGCCCGCGCUGAUCAAGAAGCGCGGCAAGGACGCCCACAUGAUCCACGACGAGCUGGUCCAGUGCAUGAAGUGGAAGCAAACGAGGGGGAAGUUUUACCCGCAGUUGUCCUAUCUGAUCAAGGUCAAUACACCGCGGGCGGUGAUGGCCGAGACGAAGAAGGCGUUCAAGAAGCUGCCGAACUUGGAGUCAGCGAUUACGGCGCUGUCCAACUUGAAGGGCGUCGGGACGACGAUGGCUUCCGCACUGUUGGCGGCGGCCGCGCCGGAAACGGCUCCGUUUAUGGCCGAUGAGUGCCUGAUGGCGAUACCGGAGAUUGAGGGCAUUGACUACACGACCCGGGAGUACAUGAACUUUGUCCAGCACAUUCAGGCGACGACGGACCGGUUGAACGAGGAGGUGCACGGCCCGGUGAGCAGUUCCAAGAAGGGGGAUGAUGAUGACAGCAGCAGCAGCAGCAGCAGCGGUAGCAACGGCGAUACGCCGAAGGUCGCGAAGAAGUGGUCCCCGCACAACGUUGAACUGGCCCUGUGGACGCACUACGUGGCGCGGGAACUCCAACCCGACCUGCUCGAUAACAUGCCGGCCGCCGUUGCGGGUAGCAAAAAUAGCUACUCGAGGAAUCCAACGGCGAUAUCGGCUACCAACGGGUCGGGGAAUAACAACGUGACUCCCGCUGCCACGACGACGACGAAGACCACGACAACCGCUGAGGAACCUCCGUCCGACGAGAGCAACCUGGACACGGAGCUGGGCAAGAGCGGUGGUAGUGGAGCUACCUCGGACGCGUCAGAUUCCAAGGACGCCGCAGUUGGCGUCGUCGUCAACAACAAGUACAUCGAUAGCUUGGACGAGGGCGAAGACUCGCUGGAGAAACCCAGCACGACCACGGCCACGACGACGAUCCGGAACAACAACAGCGACGAGGUGACGGCGGACAGCGGAGAUUCGCAGAGCAGUGCGAAGCGGUCGACGCCGUUUGAGGAUGAAGACGACGAGGAAGAUGAGGAGGAGGAGGAGGACGAGGAGGAUGAAAGCUCCGUUGAUGGCGCUCCGGACGCCAAGAAGGCUAAGUUGGACUAGUUGCGAGGGGGGUUCGGAAAUCAAAAUCAGUUAACAUAAUUAACGUCGAAGCUACCAAGAGAAGCGGUUGGUAGCGCACACUGAGAACAGACAGACAGACACACACUGAGAAGAACGCAAUGUACAAAUUAUGUUAAACUGAUUCAAAAUCCAGGAAAUCCAGGAGAUCCACUUGUGGAGAAAUUUUAUUAGUAAAAGUGUACGUGAGAAAGCGAGCGAGAAAGGUAAGGGAAUGAACGAACGCGCGAACGAGAUAGUGAGAACCGUGAGUGAUUGCGACGUGUAGCGAACGAUAGUGAGGAAACUGUAGUAUCAUUAAGGCUAAAAUUUAUUUGACACUCUUCUAGCGAGAUAUCCAAGGCAUGUACUACCACCCUAUCUCCCUGUUAGGAAAUACAUCCAAACCAUUUGGAUCCGCUUCCACUUGAGAUGUUUUCUGCAUUUGUUCAUUUUCCCCCUGCUACCACUUUUGAAUUUUCUUUCCCCUCUCCUUAUUCUCAUUUAGUGCUGAAUUGGCGUGAUUGGGUCAAGUGGGAAACUCUGCUUUUUAAUUAGGUUUCCCUUCCCUGAAAAUAGGGUGCUGCUUCUUCUUCUCGAAUAAAUGACCUCUCAAUUUUGUUCAAUUUAUCCCGGGAAACGAACAGAUAAAAGCUUUCAACUCAACGGAGCUCAUACUUUUCGUAAAAUUGGUAGCAAUCAAUCAAGAUGGCGUCUCGAUCCACGUGCUACUAAAAUCGAAGUGCGACUUUCAGCUGUAAGAUCGCUGCUACUAAUUUUCAACAGUGAAAACAUAUUAAAUUGAUAGUAUUUUAAUCUUGGUAGCCAUUUCAGAUUGCUACCAUAAUCCACCGUGUCCACGUGGUUUAUAGAUGGCCGGUAGUCGUUCUAGCCUAUUUCUGAUCAGUAAUCUUUAACUGCUUCAAGCUGACCAUUAUGAUUCGCUACCAAACUCAUUUAAAGGAUCAGUCCUUGUGUUGCCACCAUUUUGCAUUUUAUGGUUUGUCGCUAUUGGUAACCAUAUUUUACAGAAUAAUCGUAACCAUAGAAUACAGAACAAUUUCAUGACUUAGAUGUUUACCAAUUUUCUUGAAAUAUUCAACAUUACCAACUAAAACCAAAUUGCUACCAAUAUUAGCCCAAUGAGCGUCUUAUGUUGCUACCAAUGUUGACUCCACAAUUGAAGCAAAUUUUCAUCUUGAAUGCCUUCACAACUUGCUGCCGAAGUCCGUCAAAGUGAUUUCCUCGGUAAUAACUCGCUACCAAUAACAAUCCAAGUAAUCGUCAUUAUUCUUGCGUUGCCGAACAUAAAUGGUAGCCUCUUUUUACGGGAUGUAGAAGAGCUUAUUUGCUUUUGUCUAGAAUUAUUUCUCGCAACCAACUCAAAUUUAAUUGCUCCCAUUCCAUCUUAUGACCAUUUGGUGGCUCUAACACUAAUAUUUAAAUGAGUAAAGAUUAAAACUGAUUCUAAAUUUUCAUCAUGCCUUCUUAAUUCCACAAAACAAAGCCAACUAAAUUUGUUACCAAUUUCCAAGUGCCGUUUUGAUGGUCAGUCAAGAUUAAUAAUAACUUGCUAUCAAUUUCCUCCUAUUUUUCACAAAUUUAAUACCAAUCAGUUGUUCGGAUUUGUGCAAAUUUGUAUCUGGCUAACCAUUUGUUUCUCUUCUUAAACAAAAUUGGUAGCAAACUUGUAGCCAUUUGCCGUUACCAAUCUGUGCUCUCAUCUGACGUUCAAGUUACGGUUACCAAUUGCUACCAAAUUAAAUCACAUUGGCGAUCGCAACUUUCUAACAGCUUUUACAGUUUUGUUGCUUCGAUUACUAACAUGCAGUCGUUUGGUUACCAAUUCAGUGAACGGCACAACUUUGGAGUUAAUUUGAACAAAUUUUCAUUCGAUUUUUUUUUACUUUUUCAAUUUGCUCACUAUUUGACAUCAACUAGCUAUUAAUAUUAGGCACGAUUUGCUACCAAGUUCAUCGGCCUUUUAAAUUUAAUUUACAUUGGUUACCAAAGUUCAAUUGGUCAUUCUUUUCUUUUUAUUUGCUACCAAUUUCAAUCCACCUAUCGUAACAAAUUGAUGCCAAAUUCUGGCUGUAAAAUAUUGCUUGCAAUAGCAUAUCGAUUUUUUUCUUAUUUUUUUUAUUUUUUGCUUAAAAAUUUCAACUAUUACAACAAUUUGCUACCAAAUUUGAUUUUAUUGUUCUUGCAUUGGUUGUUUCGAUUUACUUCCAAUUUGCGUAAUAACUCAAUUACCAUAACAAUUCAAUAGAAUUGGUCACUUCGAUUGGCAACUAAUUUAUAUAUUUAUGAUCGUCACCAUUUGCUACCAAUUGUACCUCAAUUGAUCGCUUCUAAUUUUAAUCAUUUUUGAAUCAGCCGUCACCAAUGCUACCAAUCUUGAAAAGGUGUUAUUGAUUUGUUACCAACAUGAACUUCAAUGGCGAUCACGAUGUUUUACUUUUUACAGGUGUUUAAUGAGCAAGAUUCAUUUCAAUAUAGCAUCUACCUUGGCAUGCUACCCAUUUGCUACCAAUUUUUAUCCAAUGUUUUGCCAGGGGCCUACAAUUUGUCUUAUUAGAUUUUUCGCUACCAAUUCAGUUGAGUCUUGAAAUUUGAGGUUACCAAACCUCUGCUACCAAUUCGUUGAAGUGUUCAAUGGAUAUUCCACAUGAAUAGCUUCAUAUUUAUCCUUAGUCAUAAAUUUGGUUUCACUUGUAACUUAAACACUAUUGCAUUUCAGUUAUCAUGUCAAUAAGCAUUCACGGCUAGCUACCAAUAAUUUUCAAAAAGAUGCCACAUCAGUUCGCUCCCAAAACGAUUUUUUUUCAUAAAAUUCUUAUUCGCUACCAAUUUGUUUAUCUCCAAUUCGUCCAGCUAUCAAUCUUUGAGUCCGAUAACCGUUCUGCUGCUACCAAUUUUCAUUUAAAUUCGCUACCCAUUGGUUUUUGGAUAUUAAUUUCUCUUAACUUUCCUUUCGUAUUCGUCACUGUUUGAUCAUGUCAAUUCGCAUCCAUUUUCGUCGAAAAAUGUCGCUACCAAUAUAAUGUUUUCUACUUUCCAUUGAGUUUUUACUUUAUUUUGUAUCCAAAUCACAACCAGGCCCAGCAAAGAUGGGGCACAUUCCAAUUCAUAAACAGAUUUGUGCUUUUGUGUUUGAUCAAAUCAAAACGUAAUCAUUGUAAAAUUAAACUCACACAAACACACACCUCUAUACGCAUAUACACGCAAAGAAAAAUAAAAAAGUCGAGUCAAAAAUAUAAAUGUUUUGGAUGAAAUUCAAAAUUAUUAAGUGUCGGAUUUAAUUUCAGUUCCAUGAAAGUUUAGGCAAAGAAAAAGGAAAGGAAAUAGUCUUAGGUCUGCGAAGGUGAAAGAUUUUUUUCUUAUUUUGUUUCGUUUGUAGACAUUUAGUGGUAAGCAGAAGAACUCUGAUAGAAAUUAUUUAUUACUAUUAUUAAAGUUAAACUUAUUAUUGCAAGCGCUAGCGCUGCUAAUUAUCACUCACAACCUAAUCAAGAAAAUUUAAACAAAAGAUAAGUAACUUCUACCAACUAACGAUACCGCCAAUCGUAAAUUAAAGUGGAAGGCAGAGUAGUAUUAGUUGACUGUUUUUAGUUUGCCGCGUAAGUUUAAAGUAAAACAGUAAGCAUUAUACGAAAUCAUGUUACAGAAAUCAAGCAAGAGAGAGAGAGAGAAUUUGAGAUCAAACCAGCAACACUGGUUACUGACACACUCAUACACCAUCCCAGAAAUCACAUUUACAAACAAAAAUGAAUCAAAUCGAAUCCCCUCCUUGGUAGCAAAGUAAAAUCCACUCAAAAUAAACUAAACCUGAGUAAGAGAGAGAGAGACAGUGAGAAAGAGAGAGAACGCAGAUUACAAGACAAACUUAUACACUCACACACGUUACGAAAUAUAUAGUAAAGAAAAACAAACAAAAAACAAAAACAAGCUAGCAACUAGUACUCCAAACAAUAAGAAAUCUGCAACAUAAGAAAACAAAACAAAACAGAAACCACUAAUAGCCUUUAAACAUAAAUAAGAAAAGAGGAAAAUAAAACAAAACAUACUUUAAAAAACAUGUAAAGAUUAAGUAGAAAACACACACACACACAAACAAACACAUACUGAGAAUACAUACCAGAAAUUAAAGUAAACAACAACAACAAAAAAUCAAGCGACAGCAACAUAAACCAACUUUUCAGCCGUACUGAACUCGAGUACUAUACAAACAUUAAUUGUAGUGCAAGGUUAAGGAGAAAAAGGAAAGGUACAGAAGAAGGAGAAGAAGAAAAUAAAUCUGAAAGGAAAACAACUACAAUUCUACUUUACAGAA